UUUCCCUCAAAAACUCUUCCGAAUUCUGUCCAAGAAACUGAGCAACUGCGGCCCUCUCCACCACCAUCAUCAUCCUCUCCAGAUUAUCUUCAUAAGCAUCCACCGGCCGGCAGACGCCUCCGGUAGCCGGUUGUAUCGUGGUUGGAUUCGUAGAUAGUUGCUUUUUGAAAAGCAGAGUUUUAAUCCCUAUUUGAGGAAGGUAGCAUACAAGCAUUAUGGAUCACGAGUCCAAAGGUAGAACAUGGAUUGGGAACAUAUACCACAAGUUUGAGGCUAUCUGCCAGGACGUUGAUGAUUUUGUGACUAAGGACAAUGCUAAAUAUGUAAAGAAUCAAGUGCAAACAGUGGUGAAA